rnacentral:rRNA from 1 species
CCUAUCCGCUGUGCGCGUAGGAGUCUUGAGAAGGGCUGUCCCUAGUACGAGAGGACCGGGACGGACGAACCUCUGGUGUGCCAGUUGUUCUGCCAAGGGCAUGGCUGGUUGGCUACGUUCGGGAGGGAUAACCGCUGAAAGCAUCUAAGCGGGAAGCCUGCUUCGAGAUGAGGACUCCCACCCCCUGGAGGGGGUAAGGCUCCCGGGAGACGACCGGGUUGAUAGGCCGGAGAUGGAAGCUCCGUGAGGGGUGGAGUUGACCGGUACUAAUAGGCCGAGGGCUUGACCGU